rnacentral:rRNA from 1 species
CACGUAGGGUGCGAGCGUUGUCCGGAAUUAUUGGGCGUAAAGAGCUCGUAGGCGGUGUGUCACGUCGGCCGUGAAAACCUGCAGCUUAACUGUGGGCGUGCGGUCGAUACGGGCAUCACUGGAGUUCGGCAGGGGAGACUGGAACUCCUGGUGUAGCGGUGGAAUGCGCAGAUAUCAGGAAGAACACCGACGGCGAAGGCAGCUC